rnacentral:rRNA from 1 species
UGAGGUUAAGUUAACAAGGGCGCAUGGUGAAUGCCUUGGCACUAGGAGCCGAUGAAGGACGGGACUAACACCGAUAUGCUUCGGGGAGCUGUACGUAAGCUAUGAUCCGGAGAUUUCCGAAUGGGGCAACCCAGCAGUUUUAAUCAACUGUUACCACUAGAUGAAUUCAUAGUCUAGUUGGAGGUAAACGCUGUGAACUGAAACAUCUCAUUAGCAGCAGGAAUAUAAAGAAAUUUCGAUUCCCUAAGUAGCGGCGAGCGAACGGGGAACAGCCCAAACCAAAGUGCUUGCACUUUGGGGUUGUAGGACUGAACAUUUGAGUUACCAAAGAACUUGAUAGUCGAAGGAUUUGGGAAAAUCCGCCAUAGAUGGUGAUAGCCCAGUAGAUUAAAUCAAAUUCUCUCAGUUCAGGAUCCUGAGUACGGCGGAACACGUGAAAUUCCGUCGGAAUCCGGGAGGACCAUCUCCCAAGGCUAAAUACUACCUAGUGACCGAUAGUGAACCAGUACCGUGAGGGAAAGGUGAAAAGCACCCCGGGAGGGGAGUGAAAUAGUUCCUGAAACCAUGUGCCUACAAUAAGUCAGAGCGCGUUAAUGCGUGAUGGCGUGCCUUUUGUAGAAUGAACCGGCGAGUUAUGAUCCCGUGCAAGGUUAAGACUAAAAAGUCGGAGCCGUAGCGAAAGCGAGUCUGAAAUGGGCGCUUUGAGUACGAGGUUAUAGACCCGAAACCAGGUGACCUAUCCAUGUCCAGGUUGAAGGUGCGGUAAAACGCACUGGAGGACCGAACCCGUGUAAGUUGAAAAUUGCUGGGAUGAGGUGUGGAUAGCGGUGAAAUUCCAAACGAACUUGGAGAUAGCUGGUUCUCUCCGAAAUAGCUUUAGGGCUAGCCUCGGAAUUAGGAUCAUGGAGGUAGAGCACUAUUUGGACUAGGGGCCCGUCUUGGGUUACUGAAUUCAGAUAAACUCCGAAUGCCAUUGAUUCAUAUCCGGGAGUCAGACGAUGAGUGAUAAGAUCCACCGUCGAAAGGGGAACAGCCCAGACCAUCAGUUAAGGUCCCUAAAUGUAUGCUAAGUGGAAAAGGAUGUGGAGUUGCAUAGACAACUAGGAUGUUGGCUCAGAAGCAGCCACCAUUUAAAGAGUGCGUAAUAGCUCACUAGUCGAGUGAU